rnacentral:lncRNA from 1 species
UGCAUACAUGUCCUUUGAUCCAGAGAGAGUGCGAGAGAGAGAGAGAGAGAGAGAGAGAGAGAGAGAGAGAGAGAGAGAGAGAGAGAGAGAGAGAGAGAGAGGAGAGUUUUAUUAAAGUCAAAAUGCUUCUUAUAAGCAUUUCCCAGAAAUCUUUAGUAUACAUAAAUCUCGAUCAUCAUGCCAAUAAAUUGAUAUCCCCUGACAAUACCAGGGUGAAAAUCGGCAGCAUUUCCAAUUUAGAACAUUAAUAACAGAUAAUCUUUCAAAUAAACAAGUUGUAGUUUAGGAUGUGGAAAAUAUCCUCAGUGAAGGUUUUUGGAAUUGUCAAAACUUUGAAAGUUUCUGGAGUUUCUAAUUCAAAUUGAAUACUUUUAUGCUAAAAAAUACAUUUUGAUCUAUUAUUUGUACAGAAAACAAAUUUUCAACAUAGGUUGAAACAUUAGCUUGAUUCCCUCCCCCUUUCUCCUGAAUUCAACCAGUGAGGGAAAGUAGUUAGUUAAAGCUGGGCAAUCAUUUGUCACUUUAAUUUUCGGUGUUCUAAAAGUGAACUUGUCUGUUGAGCCAAAUUUUGGAAUUUUCAACAUUAAGAGCUAGAACUCAGGAAGUCUGUCAGAAAUCAGAAAUCUCUCUCUCUCUCUCUCUCUCUCUCUCUCUCUCUCUCUCUCUCUCUCUCUCUCUCUCUCUCUCUCUCUCUCUCUCUCUCUGUGUGUGUGUGUGUGUGUGUGUCUGUCCCUCCCCUUCCCUCCUUUACUCCCUCUUCUCUUCCUUUCUCAUUUUGCCUCCUCUAAUAUCCUCUCUUCUUCUUGCCUCUUUUCUUUCUGAUUUUUUCGUCUACCCUUCUUUUCUCCAUCCUAUUUCUUUAUUCUUCUCUCCUUUAAGUUAUACACAGUCCUCUCCCCUCCCCCCUCCACUCUCUCGAGUUUCUUCCUCCUCCCCUUCCUCUUUUCUUUUUUGUCAUCUCUCAAGUGAACUGAAUAGAUCAACCUUGACUUCAUCAGAGAAUCUACAGUUUGGGAGUUAA